GUACGAUGUUUAACCUAUACCAUGGCUGUUUCAGGCAGUUUGACCUAAGGAUGGCCACGGAAUACUAUGGAGAAAGAAUCUUAGCCGAAGAAGCAUCGGACUCACUGCCGUACGGAAUCGACGGUUUUCCCGUUCUGCAUGCCAGCGAGGAUUGCAUCAUUCUGUCAAGGCUGCCCCCAGAUGGAAAAAAAACGGAAUGCACGUACUGGGUUCGCAGAAGUGCUGUCGGAAAUCGCAACUGGCGUUGUGACUUCAUAUUCGAUGCCUUUUGCAGGUGGCAGGCGAUUGUAGUAAAUCAGGACAACAUAAAAUAUUGUAAUUAAGCGCACGAAAACUGGUAUCGAAGGAACUUGUGCCUUCUCCAAAUCAUCCUACAAUCUUGCGUGCCAGAGAGCUCAAGCGAUCGCAAUAUGAAAUGCCUUUUUAUUUUACCGCUGUUGAAUUGAUACCAGAAGUAUUUCACCCGAUAAUCUGGAUACGCCUAUUUAUUUCUUCAUUUUAUUUGUUCACAGUAAAGCAAUGGGUGUAACACAACGUGACAGGCGCAAAUACCUAAAGCCAUCUUUGUAGGUUCCAUAUGAGAUUCAGUGGCAGUCAAUAAAUGACAUAUGAACGAGUUUUCUUCGCUCUGCUUUAAAGGCACCCUGCGAAAUCUAUUAUUCAAACCUGAGAAGCAUACUCGAAUAAGUGGAACGGCUUUAGAAGAAUACACCAGCAAGGAAACUUGAUAUAUGCUUAAUAAUACGGGAUGAAGGUAUGUGACUGGGU